AUGAACGCUGGCGGCGUGCCUAAUACAUGCAAGUCGAGCGAACGGACGAGAAGCUUGCUUCUCUGAUGUUAGCGGCGGACGGGUGAGUAACACGUGGAUAACCUACCUAUAAGACUGGGAUAACUUCGGGAAACCGGAGCUAAUACCGGAUAAUAUUUUGCACCGCCUGGUUCAAAAGUGAAAGACGGUCUUGCUGUCACUUAUAGAUGGAUCCGCGCUGCAUUAGCUAGUUGGUAAGGUAACGGCUUACCAAGGCAACGAUGCAUAGCCGACCUGAGAGGGUGAUCGGCCACACUGGAACUGAGACACGGUCCAGACUCCUACGGGAGGCAGCAGUAGGGAAUCUUCCGCAAUGGGCCAAAACCUGACGGAGCAACGCCGCGUGAGUGAUGAAGGUCUUCGGAUCGUAAAACUCUGUUAUUAGGGAAGAACAUAUGUGUAAGUAACUGUGCACAUCUUGACGGUACCUAAUCAGAAAGCCACGGCUAACUACGUG
rnacentral:rRNA from 1 species